UUUCUCAAGUUUUAUUGUAAAAUCCUCGAAAAAGAGCAUUUACAAUGACAGUCCGUUAUGAUAAUUUGUGAAUCAUCUUUAUAUCAAGUGGUACUGCAAAUACACGGUGUGUUCAAUACUGUGUGAUACGUCAAAGUAAAUGCAACUUAUUUCAAAUGCCACAUACAGUUACAGUGUUGGUACAAAUCUCUACUAAAGUUGAUGUAUUAAAAAUAAUUUAUAUAUAUUUUAUAAAUAAGGAAAAAUUCACAUGUAUAGUAAUUAUAGGAGGCCUCUUGAGAAAUAUGGUGAUUACAGAAAAUAUAUUUUGGAGUCUACAUAACUGCUCAAAAUAAUGUAAUCUGCCUUGACAUGAGAGAUCCGAAAGUUCUCUGAGGCGGGGCUGGAUGAGAUGCUACAGGACAAGCGGGGUGUGUGUGACUUCAUAUUUUGAGGGGCAUUCAGCUACACUACAGCAGAAAGCAGUGUGUGUGUGACCAUUCCAGCAAAACUCCAUGCCCAGUUCUGCUUCCGGGUCAUCGCACAGGUCUUCAGAAAGCGUGGGCAGUGGUGGGGAGGCAGGGCACGCAAGGGCCAGGCCAGGAAGGGGCAGGGUCUGGGCAGUGGGGUGUGGGCCAUGGGGUCCCCAUGAAAGGGGGUGCUGUGGCUCUGGCGUGGGUGACUUGCAGACCUGUUGUUCCUCACCUCUCUGAAGCAGCGGUAGUAGCCAGGGACCAGCAACUCUUAAACCUCAGGCAGAGGUUGUGAUGGGCAGUGGAUGAAGGUUUAGAUUUAGGGAAUUUUCUCACUUGGGAGCGCCUGGGCCCCGUAACCAGCCAAUCCUGGUGGCCCUUCCUUAGAAAUGAAGCUCCGAUCUCGAAGAGUCCCCCAAAAGGCAGCGUUCUCCGAUCCUGCCAUGAUGACAUGUAGACAUGGAGACAGCACUUGUCACCAGGCUUGGGGUAGGGGCCAGUCAAUGGUUAUUGCUCUGUAGAGCCCUCUAGGUCAUGGUCCACAUUCUCUGGGGCCCCAUGGGGAAGGGAUGGUUUUACAUCAGUUAAGAUGAGCUUGUAAAGAGGGGUGUGUGAAUUGAGACUUAGUCAAAACCCCCCUUAGUAAAAAACAUGCUUUAUAUUCUGGCGCUGGUUAAAGAAGUCUUGUGAAUUUUGGAGACUAAUUCCCAUUCUCCCUGUAUUUUCCAUAAUUCCACACACCGUGUCGAGUUCAGUUCCCACUCGCUGCUCACAGCUCCAAAGGAUGUGUGAGACCACGCUUGGUGGGCUCCUGCUGGCUGCCGAUGGCCGGCGCCUGAAGCCCGCGGGCCCAGGGAGGAUGCUCAGGUCCUCUAGUGACUUGGCUGGUCACCUGGUGGAGACUACAGUAGGAAGUGGUUCUAUCCCUACAGCUACUUGGGGUCUUGCAGUCACAGCUUGAGGAGGCAUUUUCCCAUUGAAAAGGUUAAAGCAUGUCUGUCCUGUGAUCUCUAAGAUUCUGCAGAGAAACCAAGGCAGUGUGUAACUUUCUAGGAAAACUGCUUUGCCUACAUGCCAGCCUGGGAGGAAAGAAACAAUAGCAUCCGGCCCUGUGAGUGACUGCUUGCUUCUACCCCAAAGCCAGGGGCUGGGGCGGCAGUGAGGUCAGUGGCCUUUUGAAAUGAAGGAGCAGGAGGCUCGAGGCAGAGGGAGGAAGCAGGAAAAGCAGAGGACAGCGUUGGAAUGGAGGGAGGUGUCGCUUAGGCCUCUCAGGGAUGAGGCUGGCGCAGAUGUCACAGUCUCUGUCCCCGUCGACAGUUUCUGUCUGAUAGUAGCUGACUUACGUUCUGAGUUCUCUCUAGUCUUGCUCAUCUGACUCUAAAGGGCUGCAAGCAAGCGUUUGGGGGUAUGAGGGUGGGAUUCUGGGCAGCAAGGGGCGGUGCCCCAUGGGUUCUGACUGCACUUGGAGUGGCAUCUGCGUCCUGGUUUGGGGAGGAUGGCAAAGGACUCCAUGUCAGCAUUGUCAUCAUCCCCGGCACCUGGCUGGCCUCCUGGCAUGGGGGCAGCGCCUGGCGGUGCUGGGGGCAGGGAGGAAGGCGUGAGGUAGAUUGGCGGAUGUGUAGGAGGGAGGGGGCACGAUAUGCUCUCCUGCGGGCCUGCUUCUGAAGAGAGAGAUCCGAGAGAGCGAGCGAGGGGUCUGGUGAUGAGCAUGGUUCAGCGUCCAAGGUAUUUGAAUGAAACACACUCUGAGAAAUCAACCGAUUUACUUUUUAAGCCCCUUGUAGAAAAAUAUAUCCAGAAUGAAUCUGUCUCACAUCUCAGUUCUGAAAUUGCCUUUAGUUCACAGGUUAUUGGUCAACGGAAAACAGGAAGUUGUGGCUGCACAAAGCUGACUCCAGGCGGCUUUCCUCCAUGGUCUCCGUGGUUACCAUCCUCUAGUGCAGCAGGUGGGUCUCUGCUUUAUUUGGGGUGAAAACUGUCCUCCAGGGCACCUACCUGCGCCAGGAGGUGGGGAGAGGGCUGGGCUGGGUGGGAAUGGCAGGGACUGAGCUUCUGUGUCUGGCGGUGCCAUCUUUAGAUCAAAGCACUUGGAGCUUGCUAGGAGCGAUUGGCCCCAGCCAAGUUUUUAAAGGGCUCUUCUGGCUACUUCUGGGGACUUGGGCUAAUAGGACCCGUGAAUGACUUGGAGACUUAAGAUAAAAGCCUGGGCCAGCCCCAGGCCAGUCUCGCUGGGUCAGGGUUGCUGGGGCCGGCAUUUGAAGUGUCAUGCGUGGUCCAUGCCCAGGCCUUCUUGUGCAGAAAGGCCACUCAAUCAUCUAGAAACAGACCCCCUUUUCUACCACCAGUAGCUGGGUGGGCUUUUGGACCUGGGACCUCCACGUGGGCUCACUAUGAGGAUGAGGGCCUCCAAUUCAAAGCCUUAGCCAGGUGUUAUUUGUGUUUGUUAUUCCGAAAAAAAAAAACCAAACAACCCAAAAAACAAAAAAAAACUGUUGAAUUUUGGUGAAAUUUUAUUUCAGGAUUCAGGAAUGUUGGGAUAGUGAGUUGGGAUAGUGAUAAUGGCCUUUUUGGUGAUUCUUUUGGUAAAAGGAAUCCUCCUUGAAUGCGAAAAAUGAGUAGUUGACGUUUUGUGUUCAUCACAAGGAUUGCUGGCUGGGUUUGCUUUAAGGCCCACCUGUUGUGAUGACUUCUGACCCCAGCUGGUUUCAAAUUGUGUUCCAUGGGCCAGCCUGGUCCCUGCCUCCCACCCAAGCAGCUCUGUGGAAAGCAUCUACCCGCGAGCCUUUGUGAAUUUGCACAUUGCGCUGUUUUCAGGCCCGUGAAUCUUUUCUCCAGUCCAGCUGUGUCUGGCAUGUGGACAGCGAGAUGGGAGC